ACAGCACCUUGGAAGAGACAAACAGUGUCCUUUGAUUAACCUUCCUUUUACAUUAUUUAGUUUUUUAAACUUUGAAAUAAAAUAUAAAUAUUAUUUACAUUUUCAUUUGAUAGACAAUACAAAUAAAUCAUGUUCUAUAAUGCUAAAGCUAUUUAAAGCUUAAAGCAAUACGCAGGAUUUUAUAAGUAAAAAAGGUCCCUUUUAACUUGAUUUUAGAAUUAGAACAGCCACUGGAAAUAUGGAAUUUCUUAUGAAACUCGUGAUCAAACAAAAUCACAUCUCAGUAAAACAAAUGAAUGCAUGUAAGAUUCAUCUCUUUUUAUCAAGACAACAAUAGGAUCUGAUUAACAGGGAAAAACAGCUCAUAUACACACCAUAAUGUAACAUGGAUCGCCAACAACAUGUGCCAACACAUAUAAUAUAUAUUAUAGGAAGAGGUUUCUCUUGACCAAAAGACCCCAGACCACUGCUAUGUGCUCCAGUUCAUAACAUAAUGCCUUAUCUAAUAGCAGCCAUGGGACGGCUGGCCUGCACACCUGAAUGAUGGGUUGUUCACAGUGACCGAACCAUAUAUGUCAAUGGACCAAACACACAGGUUUUGUUUUCAAAGUGACGGCUAGGCUACGCAUAUCCUUUAAGUAAAUAACGGAGUAAAGCAGUAGUGGCAUUCUUUACAUGUAGUGUACUUACAAUCCAAAUGAAGGACAAUUAGCGUCCAUGAGCCUCAGUCUACAGAGAGACAAAAUAUCAAUUGAACCUCUACAAAAAAAUAAAAAAAUAAAAGAUCACUUUUGGAAAAACAAAAGUCAAAGUAAAUCAAAAGAGCAAAGGUUGAUAUUAAAGCUGAUUUGCACGUUAGGUUGGAUAUUUAGGCUCUAGCCUAUUGAAGGGACCCACCGUUACGGUUCUAUUGAUGAAGACGAGGGUCAGAAAAACAUGCCCAAGACAAUGUGAGAUGGGUCUGUACUGUACCACUAGUAGUAUUAAAUACAGUGCUGUGAGAACCAAACCCAUCAGCCCUCACCUCCAUGCACAGGACUCACCUGGCACCAGCCAAGUGGGGUUGAGCUUAGUUUAAACAGCAUAGCUACGAGUGAGGAUGCACAUUACAAAUUAAGAUUCGGAAACAAAAAUGUUUGGUUUCCUUCCUCUCAAUGGCACACAAAUAAGUCUGAAGAUCUUUCUCAAAAAGUGGAGUCAGUUUGGAGCGAGUCUGACCUAAAACGACACGAAAGAGUGAACAGAGCAUUUUCUGGAACAAACAGAGCAAAGCAACAGCAGAUCAGACUCCCAGCGGGGAGUUCCAUAUAGGACACACUCCUUCCUCUUUCCCUCUACUUCCUCCCCUCCUCCUCCUCCUCCUCUGCUUCUACUUUUUAAUCAAUGGAAAGUCAUGUUGUUGGGGAUUUGGUGUGUGUGUGUGUGUGUGUG